GGGUGUCAUAGUUCUGACCUUGAUAAUGAGCAGAGAGGGUCAGGACUGGCCACCAGGUUACUGAGGACAAAGUCACCACAGACUUUGAUAUUGGAAAGAGGGCAGGAAAAUGACGGAUGGAACGGAGCAGGAAGAACAACAAAACACAAGGAUUGGGCAGAAACUAGCUCAGGGGAGAGAGGCAGGCAAGGAAAGCGUCCUUAUGCAGCUCAAGACAGCUGCUUCACCAUGGAGACUGCAAAAGGAAGGAGAAUGAACCCCUGCUUUGUGAUGCUUUUUAGAUUCUUGAAGAGCAAACAGAGGCAGAGCCGAAGAAGUACACAGGGUAAAAGUACCUCUAAAUCGACAGAAACUGGCAUGCCCACCAAUGGAAAAUGGAGCAGACAUCGGAAAACACAGGUAAGGGAGGUUGGCAGUGAAGAACCCUUCAUGUUGAAUAGAGGACUGAGAAGACACAGCCAGCCUCACGGACUGACUGAGGUUAUCAUGGGUCACAACUGAACAAAGACGCACACAGAGUCAUCCCAGAACCUUUGGGUGUGAUCCACUUGUGUGGGAGAAAGCUUCUUCUGGGGACAGAGAAGUCGCUAUAUUCUAUUGUCAUGGCAAAUCAGACCUUUUCCCUUGGAGUAUCCCCAAACAACAGAGGACUCAUCCACGGUAGGAACCUUCUGAUCUGUGGAAACUUCACCCUUCAGAACAGCAAACGACAAGAAAUGGCACGGAGGAUCUCAAGAGGAGAGAUCUCCAUUAGGCACUGGGUCAUCUAGCUAUGUGUAGUUCCCAACGACCCCAAAGACCCCUUAACACCCAAAUGUCAUCCCUUCAGCUCUGAGACCAGCUCCUUGUUUCUUUCCUAAGGCAGGCCAGUUAAUGCCCAGGAAUUAAUCAGCACGGUCAGGGUGCCAGCUGCAUCUUCUACCGGGUCCUGAAGGGCUAUUCUGUCUUGAGGACCAAUGCUAUUUCUCACGUCAGUUGAUUUACAGAACACAAGUGAAGCAGACACCAUGAAGAGAAAGGAGAACCCAAGGGUACAUAGGACCCUUGGCUCAUCCUGCACUCCAGGAGAAGCUCUGCACUGGCUGGAAGUUGUGAAGGCCUGGCUGUUCUCUUGAAUGUGUACAAUAGACUUUCCUGUCUCUGGGAUUCAGAUCCAAGGACUCAACCAACCUCAGGUUGAAAGUGUAGCUUUCUAUAGUUUGUGUGUAUGAGUGUGCCAGCAUGGUAUAUGUGUACCACAUGUGUGCCAGCAUGGUGUAUGCGUACCACAUGUUUGAGGUUCUCCCAGGCUGUAAGAGGUCAUUGGAUCCCCUGGAACUGGAGUCGCAGUAACUGCAAGUCAGCGUGUGGGUGCUGGGUCCACACCUGGGUCCACACCUGGGUCUUCUGAAAGAGCAGUAAGCAUUCUUAACUGCUGAGGCGUCUCUCUAGCCCCCGUGCAUGAUAUUUUGAGUCACCUGAAGAUGACUUGGAGAAGAGGCCAUAGGCUACAUGAAAACACUGCACCAGUCAGAGCGAAGAUGGCAGGCAUCUCGGAUGUGGAGUCUAUGGGAGUCCUGAUGCUUAGAAAGCCGUAUGUGUCUACUUAUAUACAGUCAGCAUUUGUGGUUGAGAGCCACCCAGUGUCAGUGCCGGGAACCCAAUUUUGGUCCUCUGCGAGAAUACUGUGUACUCCUAACUGCUAGGCUGUCUCUUCAGUUUUUCUUUUUUAGUUUUUCCCACAUUUAUUUGUCUGUGUAUGAGAGAGAAAGAGAGAGUGUGUGCGUGUGUGCAGGUGUGCAUGUGCGUGUG